AGUGGCAAUAUCCGUGAAGCCAGAAUUUGCGACGGGUCCUGGAACAGUGCCAAGAGAUGCACCAAAAAUGGCUCGGAUCCUUCAGCUGGGCCUGAGGUCAGACCCUUCCGGCUCAGUGAAGAUCUGGUGUACUUACAGCUGCUAAUCCAUUAAGACAAAGUGUGGAUGUGCCGCAUUGUGAUUUUCACUUCCGUCCAGCCAAUCCAGAUAAAAUGUAAGUAUGAGACAUCUUUAGGAGGACAUGAUGGACUUCAUUCAGUCACCCUGUACUGGAAUAACAGGUUUUGGGAGAUAGAUAUGUGAAUAACCUAUAUAAAGAGAUGCAUCCA